UACGGGGGGGGCAAGCGUUGUUCGGAAUUACUGGGCGUAAAGGGCUUGUAGGUGGCCAACUAAGUCAGACGUGAAAUCCCUCGGCUUAACCGGGGAACUGCGUCUGAUACUGGAUGGCUGGAGUGUGGGAGAGGGAUGCGGAAUUCCAGGUGUAGCGGUGAAAUGCGUAGAUAUCUGGAGGAACACCGGUGGCGAAGGCGGCAUCCUGGACCGACAUUGACGCUGAGGCGCGAAAGCCAGGGGAGCAAACGGG
rnacentral:rRNA from 1 species